CCAGACUCCUACGGGAGGCAGCAGUGAGGAAUAUUGGUCAAUGGUCGGGAGACUGAACCAGCCAAGCCGCGUGAGGGAUGAAGGUACAGAGUAUCGUAAACCUCUUUUGUCAGGGAACAAAGGCGGGGACGUGUCCCCGGAUGAGUGUACCUGAAGAAAAAGCAUCGGCUAACUCCGUGCCAGCAGCCGCGGUAAUACGGAGGAUCCGAGCGUUAUCCGGAUUUAUUGGGUUUAAAGGGAGCGUAGGUGGAUUGUUAAGUCAGUUGUGAAAGUUUGCGGCUCAACCGUAAAAUUGCAGUUGAAACUGGCAGUCUUGAGUACAGUAGAGGUGGGCGGAAUUCGUGGUGUAGCGGUGAAAUGCUUAGAUAUCACGAAGAACUCCGAUUGCGAAGGCAGCUCACUGGACUGCAACUGACACUGAGGCUCGAAAGUGUGGGUAUCAAACAGGAUUAGAUACCCCUGUA
rnacentral:rRNA from 1 species